rnacentral:rRNA from 1 species
GAUGAACGCUGGCGGCGUGCCUAAUACAUGCAAGUCGAGCGAACAGAUGAGGAGCUUGCUCCUCUGACGUUAGCGGCGGACGGGUGAGUAACACGUGGAUAACCUACCUAUAAGACUGGGAUAACUUCGGGAAACCGGAGCUAAUACCGGAUAAUAUAUUGAACCGCAUGGUUCAAUAGUGAAAGACGGUUUUGCUGUCACGUAUAGAUGGAUCCGCGCCGCAUUAGCUGGUUGGUAAGGUAACGGCUUACCAAGGCAACGAUGCGUAGCCGACCUGAGAGGGUGAUCGGCCACACGAGAACUGAGACACGGUCCAGACUCCUACGGGAGGCAGCAGUAGGGAAUCUUCCGCAAUGGGCGAAAGCCUGACGGAGCAACGCCGCGUGAGUGAUGACGGUCUUCGGAUCGUAAAACUCUGUUAUUAGGGAAGAACAACUGUGUAAGUAACUAUGCACGUCUUGACGGUACCUAAUCAGAAAGCCACGGCUAACUACGUG